CCCGCCUCAGCUUCCCAAAGUGCUGGGAUUACUAAAGGCAUGAGCCACCACGCUGAGCCUCAUCUAUGUUUCAAACAGUAAAUUCAGACUGGGAUUCUCCUAUAUUCAUACAUAUUAGUCAGAGAGAGACAAGUUUUUUUACUACAUCAAGCUGACUUUUAUAACUGUGGUAAAGUCUAAAAGUAUCUGAUUGACCAGUAAUGGCUUUAGUAAGCAGAAGGUUAAUAAAUCAUGUAGGCAAACAGGAGAGCAUAACCUGCUGCUUUAUAAGAAUUAUAUUUACAGUGUUAUGUUUCCACAGGUAUAGGUGUUUGUUAGGCCAAAAAAUAUGAGAAAGAUAUCGUUUCACUUCCAGUUAUGUGCAAAUUUCGAGUAGCAAACCUGACAGUUAUGUUAAAGCAGAA
rnacentral:lncRNA from 10 species